GCAGAAUGUGCUCUGUUUAGACCCGUUUUAAUGAGGGAGGUGAGAAGAAAGGCAGAAUAUGCUCUGUUUAGACCAGUGUUAAUGAGGGAGGUGAGAAGAAAGGCAGAAUAUGCUCUGUUUAGACCAGUGUUAAUGAGGGAGGUGAGAAGAAAGGCAGGCUACUAGCAAGACAACUAAAAAUGCAAAACACUAACGUUAUUCCAGCAAUUAAGAAGGGCAAUGAGAUGGAGACCCCAUCCAAAGACAUUAACCGUGUGUUUCAAUGUUUUUA
ensembl:lncRNA